rnacentral:rRNA from 1 species
GAUGAACGCUGGCGGCGUGCCUAAUACAUGCAAGUCGAGCGAACAGACGAGGAGCUUGCUCCUCUGACGUUAGCGGCGGACGGGUGAGAAACACGUGGAUAACCUACCUAUAAGACUGGGAUCACUUCGGGAAACCGGAGCUAAUACCGGAUAAUAUAUUGAACCGCAUGGUUCAAUAGUGAAAUACGGCUUUGCUGUCACUUAUAGCUGGAUCUGCGCCGGAUUAGCUAGUUGGUAAGGUAACGGGCUACGAAGGCAACGAUGCGUAGCCGACCUGAGAGGGUGAUCGGCCGCACGAGAACUUGGACACGGUCCAUACGCCUACGGGAGGCAGCAGUAGGCAAUCGUCCGCAAUGGGCGAAAGCCUGACGGAGCAACGCCGCGUGAGUGAUGAAGGUCUUCGGAGCGUAAAACUCGGUUUUGGGUGAUGAACAAAUUUGUAAGUAACUAUGCACGUCGUGACGGUACCUGAUCAGAAAGCCACGGCUAACUACGUG